rnacentral:pre_miRNA from 1 species
UACAUACUCUCUCCGUUCUAAAAUACUUGUCUGAAGAAUGGAUGUAUCUAGAUGUUUUUUUUUCUAGAUACAUCUAUUCCUAUUCAUUUUUACGACAAGUAAUUCCGGACGAAGGGAGUAUUUA